rnacentral:lncRNA from 1 species
GUUAGAUGGGAGAGUGUGUUUUAAAACCAUUGACUUAACAACCUUAAAUUCUUUGUAGGUCUGUCUCAUGUCUUAUUUUUAUGUUUAUGGGCACUUAGGACAAUAGUAAUACCUAAGGUAAGACUGAUUUAAUUGUAUUCAGACUAUAUCUGAACGCCAGUCUCUCAAUUUGUAAACAUGGAGAAGCUGAAUAUGUGGGUGGGUGAGUACCACAUCCAUCUAUCAUCUCUGCUGUACAAAGAACCAAGUUCAUAUGAAGGCCAGUAUUAUACACAAACACUCACAUACUCUUUAAAGUCAGGAUAUUUUUCAGAUAUUAUUUAUGAGUUUGUUUAAGAUUAUAAAAUUUUUAUUUUCUGAACUAAGCUUUAAAAUUCAUAAGAUAGGCUUAUAAGUAGUGGGAUUAUUUUAUGCAUGGUU